CGGAGGGUGCAAGCGUUAUCCGGAUUCACUGGGUUUAAAGGGUGCGUAGGUGGAUCGGUAAGUCCGUGGUGAAAUCCCCAAGCUUAACUUGGGAACUGCCGUGGAUACUAUCGAUCUUGAAUACUGUGGAGGUAAGCGGAAUAGUGUCAUGUAGCGGUGAAAUGCUUAGAUAUGACAUAGAACACCGAUAGCGAAGGCAGCUUGCUACACAGUCAUUGACACUGAGGCACGAAAGCGUGGGGAGCAAACAGGAUUAGAUACCCUGGUAGUCCACGCCCUAAACGAUGAUUACUCGACAUACGCGAUACACUGUGUGUGUCUGAGCGAAAGCAUUAAGUAAUCCACCUGGGAAGUACGACCGCAAGGUUG
rnacentral:rRNA from 1 species